AUACGUAGGGUGCAAGCGUUAUCCGGAUUUAUUGGGUUUAAAGGGUGCGUAGGCGGUCUAUUAAGCGUGAGGUGAAAAGCCAGUGCUCAACAUUGGUCGUGCCUCCCGAACUGGUGGACUGGAAUGCGGAUGCCGUGGGAGGAAUGUGUGGUGUAGCGGUGAAAUGCAUAGAGAUCACACAGAACACCGAUUGCGAAGGCUUCUCCAGAAUCCGCGAUUGCGGCUGAGGACCAAAAGCGUGGGGAUAAAACAGGAUUAGAUACCCUGGUAGGCCACGAAUUAAACGAUGAUGAAUAACCGCCGGCGACAUACGGUCGGUGGCCAAGCGAAAGCGAUAAGUCAUCCACCUGGGGAGUGCGACCGCAAGGUUGAAACUCAAAGGAAUUGACGGGG
rnacentral:rRNA from 1 species